rnacentral:piRNA from 1 species
CAAAAAUGAGACCUUUGUCGCUAUGGAGAC